AUAUAUUAUAUUAUGAUACGUGUAAUGGUAAAUCUACGAUCGCGAUAUCAAUGUACAAACAUUUUCAAUUGAUAUAUAUUUUUUUAUUCACAACACUAUUUUACAAUACAUUGUGAUAAUUUAGUUUAGUCAUACAAUAGCAUUAUAAAGCGGAGAAAUUUUUCAAGAUAUCAAUAACACGUUUCAAUAUAUCAUCUAUCAUAACACAAAUAGAUGAUACUUUUUAUUUUUAAAUAUCUAACCACUUAUAUGUACAUUUAAUGUGUAUGACCGUGUUUCCGAUAAACUGAUGUUAAACUUUUUAUGGGAUCGAAUUUGAAACUCCUUAGUUAAGAAUGGGCCGAAAUACCGUAAGCUGUGAUAGAAUCGACGGUUAUGAGAAUUGCAAAUUACGAGGAGAGUGUUGGGACCCCACAUGACAGCCAAGUUGCGUACAGCGUAACAGUAUAACGGGUACUUGUAACACGCGCCUCCAAGUUGCGACGACCGAACAUUCUCCAAAACAGGAAAGAAUAAUACAAAAUAAAUACAAAAUAAAAUAAAAUAAAUUGUUUUGGGGAGAAAAUGAAAAGACAAGAAAGUAGUUCACUUCAAAAAAGAACCUCGGACUUCGAGAUAUUUUAAAAUGUUUAGGUACUGUUGGAUUCUCUCUGUGGAUUCUGGCACGCG
rnacentral:lncRNA from 1 species